UACAGAGGGUGCAAGCGUUGUUCGGAAUCACUGGGCGUAAAGGGCGCGUAGGCGGCCUGAUAAGUAGGGGGUGAAAUCCUGUGGCUUAACUGCAGGGCUGCCUCCUAGACUGUUAGGCUCGAGCACGGUAGAGGCAGAUGGAAUUCCCGGUGUAGCGGUGGAAUGCGUAGAGAUCGGGAAGAACAUCGGUGGCGAAGGCGGUCUGCUGGGCCGUUGCUGACGCUGAGGCGCGACAGCGUGGGGAGCAAACAGG
rnacentral:rRNA from 1 species